GCCAAGGGCUGUGCUCAGCAUCCCACCGGCCAUGGGCACCGCAGCCUGCAUGUGCCAAAGGCUGCACUCCAUCCCACCGGCCACAGCCUCACUGGGAUGCAGGGGUCGCAUGGCACAGAGCCCCGGUGGGGGCACGGCUGCAGCUCAAGCUGCCUGUGCCUGGGUGCCGAUGGGGGCACACGCUCCCCCAUGGCAGCUCUGCCGGGGCAGGGGGAGCAGCCCAAGCCCCCCAGGCCAUGUAGGGUUUCCCCCAAGCCCAUCCAGGAAGCAUUAUCCCAGAACACCCUUCCGGCCGCAUGCAGCCUGGGACCCCAGUGCCCCACUGCUGGGGACACCCCCCCCCCCAGCCCAGCCCCCUGUGCCCCAGCCCUACCGGCAGCAGUGGUAUCACAGAUGUCCAGUCCUUGAGGGCAGCUUGUGUGCUCCGUGGGGCGCACGUGGGUCUGUGGGGCCCAGGUGGGUCUGUGGGGCCCAGGUGGGUCUGUGGGGUGCAGUGACCCAGCACUGCCUGGGAACAGGGCCAGGAUUGGGCUCAGCUGGUGCUUGGCAGAGUGAAAGCAAACAUUUACCUACUGCAGGGUUACCUGGUGGGCUGGGGCAGCUCCAUCCCCUCUGCCCUGCUGCUGGGGGGGCUGGUGCCAGGGGACACCCUCCAGCAAGCACAGCCCGGCUGAGUGCAGCAGAACCCAGCACCCAUGGGUGCCAAAGGGAAGGCUCAGGGUGGGUGAUGGAGCCAGGAGCCAUCCCCCUCUCUGGAUGCCACAGGCAGCAGGAGAGCACAGAGCCCCCGGGCAGCCCCUGCCCUCCAUGCCCGUGUCCCCCAGCUCACACUGGGGUGCAGGAGGGGUCUGGUGGCCUCCCCGCAGCCCCUCACGGGUCCAUGCCAGUGUCAGGCACCCACAGCCUGGGCCGGGGCAGGAGCACUGCUGCAGCAGCCAGGCCUCACCUUCAGCUCUGCAGGGUCACUGGGGCUCCAGUCGCAGCUCCCCCCAGCCCCCGAGGCUCCCACUGGGGUCAGGGGCUGCAGCCUCCAGCUGCGGAGAUGGGUGCAGGGUGAAGCACCAAAGGCCCCGUGGGCUCUGCCUGCUCCCCAGCACGGGCAGCACCCGCACGGCCCCUGCUC
rnacentral:lncRNA from 14 species